rnacentral:tRNA from 2 species
GGGCCUAUAGCUCAGUCGGUUAGAGCGCUGUCCUGAUAAGACAGAGGUCGCUGGUUCAAGUCCAGCUAGGCCCAC